UACGUAGGUGGCAAGCGUUGUCCGGAUUUACUGGGUGUAAAGGGCGCGUAGGCGGGUCGGCAAGUCAGAUGUGAAAUCUAUGGGCUCAACCCAUAAACUGCAUUUGAAACUGUCGAUCUUGAGUAUCGGAGAGGCAAGCGGAAUUCCUAGUGUAGCGGUGAAAUGCGUAGAUAUUAGGAGGAACACCAGUGGCGAAGGCGGCUUGCUGGACGACAACUGACGCUGAGGCGCGAAAGCGUGGGGAGCAAAC
rnacentral:rRNA from 1 species